GGCGUUACUAGGAGACCAUCGUGGUUUGCAAAUGGAAUGUGUUUGGGUAUCAGAUGAAGUCACUAUGGCUCCUGGACUCCAAAGAGGUAUUUACUACUCAUGAGAAGGUGAGGAAGUCGGAGACCCCUUAAGGAGAAAGUCCACAGAGGAAAAGGCAGGGUGUCACUCAAACACGCUGAAGUGAAUUGGUCACUGGAAAUGAGAAGUGAUGUCCUGCUGUGUUUCUCAGAGAGUGCACAGAUGUGUCACGUACCUAUAAACAUUCACAGAAGACAAAAUCUGCCAAAAGAAUCCUCUUUGGGGGAGUUUGACUAUGAGACAUUCAGAAGACGCUAA
rnacentral:lncRNA from 1 species